rnacentral:rRNA from 1 species
UACAGAGGUCCCGAGCGUUGUUCGGAUUCAUUGGGCGUAAAGGGUGCGUAGGCGGCUUUCUAAGUUUGAUGUGAAAUCCUAGGGCUCAACCCUGGAAUUGCAUUGAAUACUGGGAGGCUAGAGUACUGGAGAGGAAACUGGAAUUUACGGUGUAGCAGUGAAAUGCGUAGAGAUCGUAAGGAAGACCAGUGGCGAAGGCGAGUUUCUGGACAGUUACUGACGCUGAGGCACGAAGGCCAGGGGAGCAAACGGG